AUCUAUGCCUGGCCAGGAUGAAGCCAGGGGAAACUCUGGUGGAGGUCCGUCGCGAUUCUGACGUGCAAAUCGAUCGUCUGAGCUGGGUAUAGGGGCGAAAGACUAAUCGAACCAUCUAGUAGCUGGUUCCCUCCGAAGUUUCCCUCAGGAUAGCUGGCACUCGAUUCGAACGAGUCUCAUCUGGUAAAGCGACUGAUUGGAGGGCUUCUGGGCUGCAACGGCCUAGACCUACUCUCAAACUUUAAAUGGGUGAGAAGUCAGGCAUCCCUAACUGGUCGAAGCUUGACGUUUCUUCAGGAUCUACGAGUAGCCAAGUGGGCCACUUUUGGUAAGCAGAACUGGCGCUGUGGGAUGAACCAAAUGCUGGGUUAAGGCGCCCGAGUGGUCGCGUAUCAGACCCCACGAAAGGCGUCGGUGGCUAAAGACAGCAGGACGGUGGCCAUGGAAGUCGGCA
rnacentral:rRNA from 1 species